UACGGGAGGCAGCAGUGGGGAAUAUUGCACAAUGGGCGAAAGCCUGAUGCAGCUAUGCCGCGUGUAUGAAGAAGGCCUUAGGGUUGUAAAGUACUUUCAUCGGGGAGGAAAAAACAAAACUAAUAAUUUUAUUUCUUGACGUUACCCGAAAAAGAAGCACCGGCUAACUCCGUGCCAGCAGCCGCGGUAAUACGGAGGGUGCUAGCGUUAAUCAGAAUUACUGGGCGUAAAGAGCACGUAGGUGGUUUUUUUAAGUCAGAUGUGAAAUCCCUGGGCUUAACCUGGAACUGCAUUUUGAAACUGAAAUACUAGAGUAUCGUAGAGGGAGGUAGAAUUCUAGGUGUAGCGGUGAAAUGCGUAGAUAUCUGGAGGAAUACCUGUGGCGAAAGCGGCCUCCUAAACGAAUACUGACACUGAGGUGCGAAAGCGUGGGGAGCGAAACAGGGAUUAGGAUACC
rnacentral:rRNA from 1 species